rnacentral:rRNA from 1 species
UUGGAGGGCAAGUCUGGUGCCAGCAGCCGCGGUAAUUCCAGCUCCAAUAGCGUAUAUUAAAGUUGUUGCAGUUAAAAAGCUCGUAGUUGAAUUUCGGGAUCAAUUUAUUGGUCGUGCUAUUGUACGUACUGGUAUUAUUGAUUCCUACCUUCUGACGAACCAUGAUGUCAUUAAUUUGGUGUCUUGGGGAAUCAGGACUGUUACUUUGAAAAAAUUAGAGUGUUUAAAGCAGGCUCACGCUUGAAUACAUUAGCAUGGAAUAACGGAAUAGGACGUUUGAUUCUAUUUUGUUGGUUUCUAGGAUCGACGUAAUGAUUAAUAGGGAUAGUUGGGGGCAUUAGUAUUCAAUUGUCAGAGGUGAAAUUCUUGGAUUUAUUGAAGACUAACUACUGCGAAAGCAUUUGCCAAGGAUGUUUUCAUUAAUCAAGAACGAAAGUUAGGGGAUCGAAGACGAUCAGAUACCGUCGUAGUCUUAACCAUAAACUAUGCCGACUAGGGAUCGGAUGAUGUUAAUUUUUUAAUGACUCAUUCGGCGCCUUACGGGAAAC